GACAGAGGGUGCAAACGUUGUUCGGAAUUACUGGGCGUAAAGCGAGUGUAGGCGGUCUUCUAAGUCGGAUGUGAAAGCCCCGGGCUCAACCCGGGAAGUGCACUCGAAACUGGAAGGCUAGAGUAUCGGAGAGGUUGGUGGAAUUCUCGGUGUAGAGGUGAAAUUCGUAGAUAUCGAGAGGAACACCGGUGGCGAAGGCGGCCAACUGGACGAAUACUGACGCUGAGGCGCGAAAGCGUGGGGAGCAAACAGG
rnacentral:rRNA from 1 species